AAUACCUCGCGGGGGAGGCGGGGGAGGGGGAUCCGAAGCCUCUAGAAGGCUAACAUAGGCUCUCCACCUCCUACUCCUACUCAAUACAUCCCCGUUGUACAGAACGGUAACAUGUCUCUCAAUUAUCCAAGCUUGGGUAUACGGGGAAACCCAACCACUUGGGCGGAUGGGUUGCAUGGCUAUUUGAGAGGG
rnacentral:ribozyme from 1 species